rnacentral:rRNA from 1 species
AUGGGGACGCCACGGCCACGGCCACGGCGUCAGCGAGCAUCAAGACGGCGGAGCUGGACGCGCCGCUCCACGCCCUGGGCUUCGAGAUCGAAGAGGUCUCACCAUCGCGGCUCACCGGCCGCCUCGUCGUCACGGACACCUGCUGCCAGUUUGGCAGACAGGCAGAGUAAUGAACGUGCAUGGCAUAAACAAGCUGCAACUUGUUAUGUGCUGAAGAGGAGAAUAAUGCGACACAUUCUGAUCUCACUGACAUUGAAGGAAUUGUUAAAGCUAUCUUCCAUAUCAAACCUGAAAGAAGUAAACUAUGCUAGAAAUUAA